UAACGUCCUCCAUGAGAGCUCUGCUGUCCUUUGUUAAAGUUGACCUCAGUGCUAUGGAGGCACUAAGAAUAAUGCAGGGCUGCACACAAUUGUGAGUUUACACUCUGCAGAGGAGACACUCUCUGUUUGGAUCUCACCAGAGACAAGUCCGAGACCUGAUGAUCAUUCAUCAGACAGAAGGAAUUCCAAGGAUAACGCUGUACUCAUUUGGAGAUGCGACAGAGGGAUGGGCAAACGACAGAGCCAUGAUCGUUGCUAGAGAGAUGUGGUUCUCUCUCUCUCCAUCUGCUUAGAGACCCUUAGGAAGGGCCUGUGUAUCCUGGCCUGGAUGGAGUGGCGAGACUGCAUGCUGCGUUCUCCCUGUCUUUCUCGAUUGCGUCAUUGUAUGCGCCAGGGAAGGCCUUAUGCUCAUCUUGAUUUCCUGCCACAAAGAGCAGAUUUUGCUCUUCUCUUGACCUCCUCCAACACCACUAGCCUCCCACUUCUUAGCAUUUAUAAAAUGUGUCACUCGAGACAUUUCUAUGCUAAUGCAGUUGUUAACGGUGCCAGACUGGCAACAUUUCCUUUGUCUUCACAGGUGAUUUGGAGUGUUCUUCCCAAGGUAAAUACUCACGCGGAGUUGUGUUUAUUAUGCACGUGUAACACAUAGCUUUUGAGUUCUAGGCCGAUGACCUGCUAACCAACAGACAGCGAUUCAGAGUCAACUUGACUAAACGUUACAGUGAAAUUUACCAUCUCACUGACUUGCAUAAUAAGACAGCCACUUGCCAGAAAGAAAAAUAUAGACACAGCACCAUUUGAUGAUCUCAUCAGCAGCUUCCACAGGUUGUCAUUAAGUUGCUGACAGAGGUUGCAAGGCAACCCUGUUCUGGAACUUUCUUGCUCACAUUGUGUUUGAAUGCCCCCCCCCCGCCAUGUGUGUGUAUGUAUGUGUGUAUGUGUGUGCGCGCCUGUGCACGCAAGCAUGCUAAAGAAAAGUGAACUGAUGUCUGUGUGUAGAGUUGGGCUGCACAUGUGAAUGCAGGUUAUCUUUUCGGGAUGACAUCCUUGGAGAAGUCAGUGUCAUGUCUCUGUUAUUUUCCCCCACAAACCCACCCCAUAAUCAUUUGUUGACCUGCAGCUCUGCAUGCUUUAAUCGAUGUUGGCAUGCCAUGAUCAAACACAGUGUGGAUGCAUUUGGCAGGGGCUGGGGUGUGGGUACACAUGCUGCAGAAAGGACAGCUGGGCUCCGCCACCUGCCGCUCCUGCUGAUGUUGUUUGCUUGGGCCACCCCCAGCUUUGGGGAGUAUCUGGAUGUUGUAGGAGAGAAAAUGCAGACUUGGUGAAGCACUUUGACUUCUCAAGGGACCUGGCAAUUCACCUGGUGAAUUAUUCUGCUUGGAUCUCCUUUGGUUAUUUGCCUUCCCUUGAACAUUUGUUUCUCAGUCCAUCAUAAAUACUGUGAUUUUAUGGACAUGCUUUUUAGUGUCUAUCUAUCUAUCUAUCUAUCUAUCUAUCUAUCUAUCUAUCUAUCUAUCUAUUGUAUAUGGUUGUUUUGCUUGCAUAUAUGUCUGGUACUAUUUGUGAGACUGGUGCCCUGGAGGCCAGCAGAAGACCUCAGAUCUCACUAGGAUUGGCAUUACAGACUGUUGUGAGCUGCCAUGUGUGAGUAUUGGGAGCUUAACUUGGGUCCUCUGAGCAGAAGAGCAGCCAGUGCUCUUAAAAACUGAGCCAUCUUCCCAGUCUCUGUAUGCCCCAUUUGACCAUAAACCAUUCAUCAACAGCCUGGUGAAAGGCUUUGCUAAGCAAUGUGGAACAGCCAUUCACCAGAUUGGUAAGGAGAGAGAUGUGGGGUGACUCCCAAAUAUUGCUCUUUUCGGUGAAAAACUUGCCCACUUUCCACUCACGCUGUUCUGCCUUGCCUCUCUUUUGUCUCAGAGGAACCUUGUCAGAGGAGUUCAGAAAACAGAGAAUUGAGGCUUUGAUACUGACGCAGGGAGGCUUGCUCGAUGUCAUUCACAGCCCACUUCAUAACUCAAACAAACACAAGGCAGCCACAGGGAGCUUCAUCCAAGGUGUAGGGACCAUUUGGGAGGUUCCGGAUGCCACUGGAGCAUCUUUCCGUUUGGAUAAGGCAGGUACAUGGAUACUCUUCUUGAGGUCUGUAUGCCAUGUGCCAUGGGCAAUUUUUAAAAAUGUAUCUUAAGCAAUGUCGUGUUGAUAUACAUUUUCUCUGUGUGUCUGUGUGUCUCUCUCUCUUUCAUCACCCAGUCUCAUAUGUAACCUCAGCUGCCUCUGCUUCCUGGGUAAUGGAAUAACAGAUAUGGCACGCACCUUGCUUAGCUAAGUAUGUUCAGAUAAACAUUAGGCAGAGAAAAAGAUAUUCUUGGCACCUAAAGUGAACAUUUUAUGAAUUUAUUGCUACUCUUUUUUUUUUUUUGUCUGAUCCCAUGGCAAUUCUAGGAGAACAACAUUUCACUCUUCCAAAAGGCCUCCUUUGUGGUAAGGUCAAAUGAUGAAUACUUUAUUUGCUUUUAUUUCUAUUUUAUAUUUUUAAUUUAAGGUCUUAUAUGUAGUGCUGGAGCUUGCUAUAUAGCCCAGAUUGGCCCCAAACUUGAGACACUCCUCCUGCCUCUGCUUCCCCAGUACUGGGAUUACAGGCUUGUGUCACCAGAGUUGGAUUCAAAUUAAAAAAAAAAAUCGAAAUCACUGCUUUUGUAAGUAUGUCGACUCCUUCCUGCUUUGAUAGAAGCAUUAGGAUUCUGUUUCAAAUCCAUCAGUUGGCUCAGCUGAUUACUUUGAAGUCUUCAUUUAUAAGGUAACAUUGUUAUUUGCUCCUAGAAAGUAGAAGAGUACCCUGUCCCAGACAGAGAAGAAGCCGCACUCCUCACUGAUGGAGAGCAUCGUGUCUAGCAUCUAUUGAAGGCUACCGACAAGAAGUUUCUAAAGGACCACGAUUAUCCUAAAACAGUGAUCUCGAGUUACAACAUGCAAUUCAGAACACAUGUUCCAGAGAAAUGAAAUGCCUGUUAGUUUCAGAAGGAGUCCACAGGCCAAGGCUUGCAGCUUGAUACACUUAGGCUUUUGAAUACAAAAAAGAACACAGAGCUAAGCUGCCUUCUGCAUGAAGCUACUCAUUCACAACACUCGGCACCUGGCAUUGUGUGUGACUCCAGUCACUUUCCCAUUUAAAUGCAUGAAACAUAGCCAACCACUUUUGGUGCUUGUCAUUGUGCAUUUAGUAAAACAGAUCCUCAUUGAGAAUGUUCAAGAAGACCCCAAGUCUCACCUUGCCCCUGGCUUCAAUUGUGAACUAGUAGAUGGCACCUGAGGGUGUCAGAGUGGCAUGUGACUGCCUUCCUAGCAUCAUAUGGAGCUGUACAGUCUUUACUUCCACAAAUCCAACUUAUUGUGCAGUAUCUUUGGCACUGAGCUGGAUUUGAAGACCAAGUCUCCUAUUUAACUCCGUUGAGAAGACCUUGAGGUAGUCAGAUGUCCUGGUUAGGAAAUUUUGGAGACCCAGAGAAGAGAAAAAUGAAUUUUGUGGAGCCUGGAAUGGGAUUAAUAGUUCUCAUCAAAGAACCUGCUGUGUUUCAGCUUUUCUAUGCUGUGACACAGCACUGAAGCCAUUACCACAUAGGAUGAGGCUACCUGUUCUUGCACUUCUCUACCGUAACAGCUAUGGGAUCUGUGUACGGCCAUCUUCCGUAAUGGACCCUUGACCAACGCAGAGGUCCACACCUCAGGGAAGCUGUGAGCAGCUGCAAUUUUUUCGUAAGUUGAUUCAAUGGCCUUGCCACCCCUUCUCACAAUUGCUAAUAAGACACCGUUCAUCACUCUAUAAUGCACCUGUACAUUAAAGCAUCAUGGAUGCACUCCUGUUAUCAAUAAGACAAUAAAGAUAAGACGUGCGCAUCAUGACAGGUGAAAUGUCAGAAUGUGAACUUGUUAUUCUAAGAGAGCAAAGUAGCAUUUUUUUAAAGGCAACAUAUAGCCAGGUGAUGGUGGUGCAUAUCUUUAAUCCCAGCACUGGGGAGGCUGAGGCAGGUGUAAGCUACAAGAGCUAGUUCCAGGAUAGGCUCCAAAGCUACAGAGAAACCCUGUCUUGAAAAACCAAAAAACAAAGCAACAUAAACAUGUUUCAAAUAGUAUUAUUUAAGAAAGCCAGUUGAAUAGAAAAGCCAUCUUCCUCCAUGCUUGUGGGAAAACUAUAGUUGUUUGUGUGUGUGUGUGUG